AAUAGAUAUGUCUUAUACAUUACAUAUUAAUGUUUUGUUUGACAACAUGGUUAGUCUGUUUGAAUGUUUAUUCAGUUAUUAUGGGAUGUAUUUUACAAUAUAAUUAUAUCAAUAGUUUUAUUUACUUUGAUUAAUAUAAUAUGUAAAGUUGGGUUCGGUUUAACCUUCUUGUGUUUUUAAUUUAUUUUGAGCUUUUUUAGGUUUUGGUAAUUUCAAGAAUUUUGUUUAAUAACAUCACUUUAUAUUAAUAGUUAUAUAUUUGUUUAUUUAAUUAGAUCAUUGUGUAUAAAUCUAUCCUAUACUAAAAGGGAUAUAUACUUCCCAUACAGCAUGUUCACGUAGGACAAUUAAAUCAACCAAUCACGUUGAAGCGUUUAGCCACGUCAGAUGGGCUGUGCCAUUUUUUAAAAAUUUGUCGUGAUAGAGUUGGGCUAUGAAACCCAUGUUAUUGAUAGAAAAAAACCCUAAUUUCCUCUCUCGAUUUGGGACACCCAUUUUACUUUUCCUCUUCUUCAUUCCGUUACGUCGGAGAAGGUGAGACGGCUCCGGUGGGUGUCGUGAUCGGUUUGCUGGCGGAGACUGAGGCUGAGAUCGAAGAACCUCAGAGCAAAGCCGCCUCGAAAUCUUCCUCUGCCUCUCCCGUUGUUGUUCCGUCUCCUCCUCCUCCGACUGCUUCGUCUCCUGCGCCGACGAUCGCUCAGCAUGCUCCGGUGGCGACGAUGUCUGACGGUCCGAGGAAGACUGUAGCGACACCGUAUGCUAAGAAGCUUGCAAAGCAGCAUAAAAUGGAUAUCAGAUCCGUUGCGGGAACUGGACCAUUCGGUAGGAUCACUGCUUCUGACGUGGAGGCUGCGGCUGGGAUCGCUCCCUCCGUGGCGGCACCACCGCCUCCUCCCCCUCCUGCUGCUGCUGCGAAAGCUACCACAACAAGCUCAAGCUCGCCUCCUCUGUUGUCUGGUUCAAGUGUUGUUCCCUUCACGGCAAUGCAAUCUGACGUAUCCAAAAACAUGAUUGAGAGCCUCUUUGUUCCAAUGUUCCGUGUUGGUUAUCCAGUGAACACAGAUGCUCUUGAUGCACCCUACGAGAAGUUGAAUGUGAAUCCGAAGGGUGUAACAAUGACUGUGUUGUUGGCUAAGCUGCAGGGAUAGCUCUUGCUCAGCAUCCUGUGGUGAAAGCAAGCUGCAAAGCAGGAGUUAUCGGACCUGUAACGACAGUGAUUUGCUAUAAAAGUUAAAGAUUCUUCCUGUGUGGGAGAGCAGGCCAGGUGAAGAGCUGUUCGAACUGCCAAAGCAACAUAAAAAGCGUAGUAUUCACUACACCAAAGGAAACAGAACUUUGCGAGAUUGAUGUUCCGUUGAAAUUUACAGCGUUCAUGUAUACCAGAGUGCAUUGGUUCAAUGUUCUCUUUAAUGGAAGCACAAAGAUGGUCCACGACUGCUACUGGUCACCAACAAGGCAACAACCCUUUGGUACCAAAUAAGAUGUAUUCUCUCCAGCCUAUUCAUGUCAUGGCAGGGCAAGAAAUCAGUGGUAAACUUCAUUUGGUUGUCCACAGGAAAAGUGUGGGGCGGCUCCGAUCAAGGUGGAAUCCUUCACACAUCAUCGUGCAAAUUCAACUUGAAGGAACCCCUAUUAUAGAAUGUCUCUGCCCUCUUGCACAAGAACCACCAGCACAACCGCAAGUAAGGUUGGUUAUUUUUUUGGUUAGACAAGUAGGCUAUGAUCACUGUUGUGUAAUCAUUUGGAGCUUUAUUAUCUCUAUGAGUGAAAUACUAUUGAAAGAAUAUGUCAUGAAUGCAGAAGCAGAAGUAGAUCUCAGCAUUACAACAUGUGUUUACAUUUCUCGGUGUAGGACAUACAUAUACUGAGUGAUGACUUGAAAGAAGUAGAGUUGAUUACCUAUCUUUUUUCCAUCCAGUUGAUUACCUAUCUUAGCUUAUAUUUCUCCAUUAUAAAUUUAUCACUUUUAAAUUUGGUAUUGGAAAUAAAACUUGGCAGAGGUUAAGUUAGCGUCUACGCUCGAUCACAUUGGUAAUGUGGCUCAGAUUUCUCCUCUUAUUGGCUUUGUACACAAGCAUGUUGUGAUUGUUGAUACUGAGCCCGAGCUAGAGAAAUCGGAAUUUUCGGUAAUGUCUUUGGAGAAAUGUGUUAAACAGCUCGAGGAAGAAAGAGCAACAGAAGAGACUUAUCAUCAUCAGCAGCGGAAGUGUAAAUUCUGAAAGAUACAAUGCAUCUUGCGAGAGGCAAGAGAUGGGCCAAUUUAAAUAUGGGGUUGAAUUAGCAGAGACAAGCUAUUGAAUAUAUAGUAUUUAGUUUUCUUAUUAUUUUUGUAUACUGGAUUUCAUUUAUUUCUCCAAAUUCAAUCAUAGUAUUUUUUUGUUCUAAAUAAAUUAAACUAUUUAUUGAUU